rnacentral:tRNA from 1 species
UACCCCGUGGUGUAAUGGCAGCACAAGAGAUUUUGGAUCUCUUUGUCCUGGUUCGAGUCCAGGCGGGGUAG